UCUCCCCGAAAGCUAUUUAGGUAGCGCCUCGUGAAUUCAUCUUCGGGGGUAGAGCACUGUUUCGGCUAGGGGGUCAUCCCGACUUACCAACCCGAUGCAAACUACGAAUACCGAAGAAUGUUAUCACGGGAGACACACGGCGGGUGCUAACGUCCGUCGUGAAGAGGGAAACAACCCAGACCGCCAGCUAAGGUCCCAAAGUCAUGGUUAAGUGGGAAACGAUGUGGGAAGGCACAGACAGCCAGGAUGUUGGCUUAGAAGCAGCCAUCAUUUAAAGAAAGCGUAAUAGCUCACUGGUCGAGUCGGCCUGCGCGGAAGAUGUAACGGGGCUAAACCAUGCACCGAAGCUGCGGCAGCGACACUAUGUGUUGUUGGGUAGGGGAGCGUUCUGUAAGCCUGCGAAGGUGACCUGUGAGGGUUGCUGGAGGUAUCAGAAGUGCGAAUGCUGACAUAA
rnacentral:rRNA from 1 species